rnacentral:lncRNA from 1 species
CCAGGUUCUCCCUCUCAGGCCAGAUGGCCUGUGAAGAUGGUACUAGCAUCACCCCUACUUUACAGAUAAGGAAGCCAAGGCUAAGAAAGCUCAUGUCUCUUGUCCAAGGUCACUCAGCUGGCAGAGCUUGGCCAAGGCAGCAUACCACCCCACACCCAACUGCCUCUUCAUGGUCUCCAUGGUGACUGCCCCACUAUGACCUACAGAUUCCUGGCUGCUUGGGUUGGGGGAGCCUCAGCUGUGGGAGUCCACACCCAGCAGCAGCUGCACUCUGGGCAGGUCCUUGGGCCCAGGGCAUCCAUUCACUGCUGGCACCAUGCAGAGGGCGACUCCUGGGAUGUUUCAUUUAAUCCUCACAGCAGCACAGUUGUCAGACACCAAGCACACUCAGAGCCUGCACCAGUACACCUGCCUGGCAGUGGGUGUGGAAGAGCCAAAACUGCAAUCAAGACCCCUACCCCCACCGGCCAGGUUCUCAGCGCCCACUGGUCUACGUUCCAGCCUCCUGGAGUCCCUCUGAGUGUGUCUGUGGCUGCAGCUGGACCCAGUUUUGAAUUCUUUUCAAGUUUCAUUUCAAAUGGGAUUUCAGAAUAAAAACGACUACACCCUGCCCUUCCUUCUUCUUGGAUUCACAUGGCGCUGUUGGGGUGGUGGGGGCAGGAGGCUUUCCACCCGUCUUCAGCCCCCAGCUGCUCAGCCUCUCCAAAUCCCUCCCAGCCUUUGCAAAAAGCCAGGCCCAUCGGUGAAAAACUAGGCCUCCAGCACCCAAUCCCUGGGCCACUGCUGUUCUGGCCAGCAGUCCGACAUUCCCUGCUGGAGGAGCAGGAAGUGCCUGUCCCUUGCUAGGGGACGGAGCAGUCUUUAAGUCUAAGCAAAGGGUGCCU